rnacentral:rRNA from 1 species
CGAACGCUGGCGGCGUGCUUAACACAUGCAAGUCGAACGGGCCCGCCCCUGUUUUUGGGGGUGGGUUGAGUGGCGAACGGGUGAGUAUCACGUGAGUAACCUGCCCCCUGCUCCUGGAUAACUGCUUGAAAGGGCGGCUAAUACGGGGUGUGCCGGCUGGUCCGCAUGGGCCUGGUCGGGAUAGUUUCAUCUUCGGGUGUUUCGGUGGGGGGUGGGCUCGCGGCCUAUCAGCUUGUUGGUGGGGUGAUGGCCCACCAAGGCGGUGACGGGUAGCCGGCCUGAGAGGGUGGGCGGCCACACUGGGACGGAGACACGGCCCAGACUCCUGCGGGAGGCAGCGGUGGGGGGUAUGGCACAAUGGGCGGAAGCCUGAUGCAGCGACGGCGCGUGAGGGAUGGAGGCCUUCGGGUUGUGAACCUCUUUCUCCGGUGGUGAAGGCCCUGUCCGGUGCGGCGGGGUUGACGGUAGCCGGGUAUGAAGCGCCGGCUAACUACGUG